rnacentral:lncRNA from 1 species
AGGACUUCGUACAAUUUUGUCCGUUGUCUCCUUGUCUUCAGCAAACGAAUCCAAAUCCAUGCAACCAACUAAGGCAGUGCUGGGUAAAGUCUCUUUCUCUAGUGUGGGUGUGGCUGGCAAUGGUAUGUCUUCUUCAAUAGAAGCAACAAUGGGUGUGGCUGGCAAUGGUAUGUCUUCUUCAAUAGAAGCAACAAUUUCUUCGGUUCCGAUAUUAAUAUUACCAUCUUUCUUACUGUGGCUUUUGUUUUUCAUAAUUGCCGAUCCAAUUUUUUUGCCAGCUUUCCUAUCCGAUGCAACGCCUGUGCCGGCGGCGGCCACGUCCACCUUCACUGGUAGUGUUUUUUCACUAGAUGGCCUCCAGAAGGUGUGAAUUUUUCUGCUCAAAUGCGAGUUCCAGUAGUUCUUUAUCUCGUUAUCUGUUCUACCU